ACGGGUGAGUAAUGUCUGGGGAUCUGCCCGAUAGAGGGGGAUAACCACUGGAAACGGUGGCUAAUACCGCAUAACGUCGCAAGACCAAAGAGGGGGACCUUCGGGCCUCUCACUAUCGGAUGAACCCAGAUGGGAUUAGCUAGUAGGCGGGGUAACGGCCCACCUAGGCGACGAUCCCUAGCUGGUCUGAGAGGAUGACCAGCCACACUGGAACUGAGACACGGUCCAGACUCCUACGGGAGGCAGCAGUGGGGAAUAUUGCACAAUGGGCGCAAGCCUGAUGCAGCCAUGCCGCGUGUAUGAAGAAGGCCUUCGGGUUGUAAAGUACUUUCAGCGGGGAGGAAGGCGAUGUGGUUAAUAACCGCGUCGAUUGACGUUACCCGCAGAAGAAGCACCGGCUAACUCCGUGCCAGCAGCCGCGGUAAUACGGAGGGUGCAAGCGUUAAUCGGAAUUACUGGGCGUAAAGCGCACGCAGGCGGUCUGUUAAGUCAGAUGUGAAAUCCCCGGGCUUAACCUGGGAACUGCAUUUGAAACUGGCAGGCUUGAGUCUCGUAGAGGGGGGUAGAAUUCCAGGUGUAGCG
rnacentral:rRNA from 1 species